AGUACGACAGCGGUGAGCCAACCAUCCCAUCAACUAUCGGGGAGGAGUUCACCUACAACCCGUUCAUGAGAGUGAGAGAGACAACCGUUCAACAGCACGCCCGGGAGAGGGACCCCAUCCGGACGAUGGGAGCGAUCCGGAAAGAGAAAGAUGCCUUCCGGGUCCCCAAAGACUGAACUCUCGUCCCCGAUUCUUCUGCUGCUUGUGAAAAAAAAAAUACAGAUUAAUUUAGUUUACGGGAGUUCAGUCGGUGUGUUCCGUUUUAGAAUCAUUCAUGUUUAGGAAAUAAUUUUGUUUGAAAAGGAAAAACAAACAAACACAACUCGAGGCACUUUCUGGUUGUCGGAAAUGUUCUAAAUGCCAUUUUGAAGGUGUUAAAAACCCAACUAUUCUUUCGUCCCCGGGAUGUCAGGCGUGGCGAUACUUCACGUCCCGUCCCCGCUUUGAAAAGCAUGGAUGAAUUCUGGACGGGGUGGGGGGAGCAACUGGUUUUUUUUGUUAUGGGAUGGAAUUUGGAGUAACCAGCAUGACAGGAUUUAUCUUUUCACAGGACGCAGCUCUGAGCUUUCUUUUCUUUCUUUGCAAGAAAACCCAACACCUGUGAGGCUUGGGGAAAAUAAACCCUUCUGAUGUGGUACCUUGUGGUACAAUCCUCAGCUGUAUAACUUUGUGUGUGUGUGUGUGUGUGUGUGUUCUCUGUUUCUGCACCUCUGAGGACGUUGGGGGAAUUAACUCUCAGUGGCUGUGUGGCUGGAUCCUGAGACUCCUUGAAAGAACACAAGACAACUUCCUGAGCAUGCAGACGUUCAUUCGCUUCUCCGGGAAACACCCCAAAAAUACAAGUUUCUUUGGUUGGGGCUGUGCAGAUCUUCUGGGAGCAUAAAAGCACCAACUCCCUCCCGGAUACGGCAGAAGAGAGAGCGAACCGGGCUUCUAGCGAAGGGUGGAGCUGCUCCUUAAGCAGGAGGUGCCAGGAAACGGAUCAGUGUGGAGUAAACUCUUUCGCUGCUUCCGUGCAAGGAAUGGUGUGAAUUGUCCUCCUCCUUGGAAACAGCUGGAACCCACUAACCAAAUGGCCACAGUCCUCUUUGGGGACACCUGGACCGCUUCCUUGAAAGGUUUCUCUGCGAUUUCAACUAGGCCGCCUUCUUUGCCGACCAGACGUGGCGUCUCUCAGAAACUCGUUCUGUAUGGACAGCCGGGUGUAGAUGAAUCGUCUCUUGUUCCAUGUCAAUAGACCUAAAAUGUAAUAUAUAUACAGAUGUAUAUUAAAUUGCUGAGCUCA